rnacentral:rRNA from 1 species
CCUACGGGAGGCAGCAGUAAGGAAUAUUGGACAAUGGAGGCAACUCUGAUCCAGCCAUGCCGCGUGAAGGAUUAAGGCCCUAUGGGUUGUAACUUCUUUUAGACGGGACAAAACCCCUUUACGUGUAAAGGGUUGAUGGUACUGUCAGAAUAAGCAUCGGCUAACUUCGUGCCAGCAGCCGCGGUAAU